GGGGAAGGGGCCUCAGGAGAGGAGUCAGGCUCUCUUCUUUAUUCUCCUCACAGCCAUGUUGAAUGGCAUUCCUGGGAGGCUGGUUUGGAGAACUCACUGAACCUAAGUGAGCAGGAAGUGAAGGUCUGUUCCCACCUGUGCCUGUGUUCCCAGAUAGCAGCUGCCUCCAGGAGACUCACCAGGAGCCAGGUCCCUCCAUACCUCAUCUCAAUUAACUCACUCACCAGGAGCCAGGUCCCUCCAUAACUGAUCUCAAUUAACUCACUCACCAGGAGCCAGGUCCCUCCAUACCUGACCUCAAUUAACUCACUCACCAGGAGCCAGGUCCCUCCAUACCUCACUCACCAGCAGCCAGGUCCCUCCAUACCUCAUCUCAAUUAACUCACUCACCAGGAGCCAGGUCCCUCCACACAGAGUCUCAAUUAACUCACUCACCAGGAGCCAAGUCCCUCCAUACCUGAUCUCAAUUCACUCACUCACCAGGAGCCAGGUCCCUCCAUACCUCAUCUCAAUUAACUCACUCACCAGGAGCCAGGUCCCUCCACACCUCAUCUCAAUUAACUCACUCACCAGGAGCCAGGUCCCUCCAUACCUGAUCUCAAUUAACUCACUCACCAGGAGCCAGGUCCCUCCAUACCUCAUCUCAAUUAACUCACUCACCAGGAGCCAGGUCCCUCCACACAGAGUCUCAAUUAACUCACUCACCAGGAGCCAAGUCCCUCCAUACCUGAUCUCAAUUAACUCACUCACCAGGAGACAGGUCCCUCCAUACCUCAUCUCAAUUAACUCACUCACCAGGAGACAGGUCCCUCCACACCUCAUCUCAAUUCACUCACUCACCAGGAGCCAGGUCCCUCCAUACCUCAUCUCAAUUCACUCACUCACCAGGAGCCAAGUCCCUCCACACCGGGUCUCAAUUAAAUCACUCGCCAGGAGCCAGGUCCCUCCAUACCGGGUGUCAAUUAACUCACUCGCCAGGAGCCAGGUCCCUCCCUAAUGGAUCUCAAUUAACUCACUCACCAGGAGCCAGGUCCCUCCACACCUCAUCUCAAUUAACUCAGUCACCAGGAGACAGGUCCCUCCAUACCUCAUCUCAAUUAACUCACUCACCAGGAGCCAGUCCUCUCCAUACCUGAUCUCAGUUACCUCACUCACCAGUAGCCAGGCCUCUCCAGACCUGGCUUAAUUCUCACUAUACUUAAUUCAAUUAAUUCUCACUAUAGCCCUAUCAGACAAACUCUAGGAUACACAUGAGGAUACAGAGUCUCAGAAAGGCUGAGAAAGUGGCUUGAGGUCACCUAGGUGGUAAGUGGUAGAGCUAGGAGUUGAAGUCAAGUCUGACUCUCAAGUCCACGCUCUUUCCAUUGCACUAUCUGCUUUUCUUUCUCCCCAAAGCCACAAUAUGCCACGAUGCGGCCCAAGGCCUCUCCUCCAGUACCGUGCUGAGGGCUCUGAACAGAUCAGGGCUGAAGCCAAGAUGUCAUCCAGUGCAAUACCCACAUGACCUCCGUGAAUAUCUACCCUGCCUUAACACUGUUUAUCUUUAGGAAGCAGGAUGCCUGAGGUCCAAACUUCUCCCUGGUGAUCAAACCAGCUAAGACUGAUGGAAUCCAAGAUGGCAGCUCAUUUGACCUCUAACUUCAUUAUAAUCUAAUUUCCAUGUUAAAUGACAGUCCCACUAACACCGUAACAGUCAACAACCAACAUGACAAUGAUGGGAAAAAAUAACAUAAAAAAACAAAUAGGAAGGUGGCACUCUGGUUUUGAAAAUUUCUCCACCCAGACCCAGAAAACACAUGAUUCCUCCCCUUGCUUUUUUCAUUUUUAUUUUUGUAGAGAUGGGGGUGUAUCACUAUGUUGACCAGGAUGGUCUCGAACUCCUGGUCUCAGCAAUCCUCUCAUUUUGGCCUCCCAAAGUUCUGGGUUUAUGGGAGUGAGCCAUUGCACCUGGCCACUCCUCCCCUUGCUUUUAAUGCUCAGCCCCUUCACUAAAGAUGCCCUGUAUCUGUGACUUCCUGGGUCUCACGAGCAGAAAAGUUGAUUUGUGAGCCAAGCUCUCACUUCUCAAUUCCAUGGCCACCAAAUAAAGCCUGCACUGCUUGAGGCUCACUUUCGGUUUUGCAUAUUGGCUUCAUGGCACCAAACAGGGAAAGACCCCAUUUUAGGGAAAGUGGCUUUGUCAGUAACAAGGACACAGAAGGAAAGAAAUGGAGGAUGAUUUAGGGCAGAAGUCAGCAAACUAUGGUCUAUGGGCCAAAUCUGGCCACUGCCUGUUUUUGUGCAACUCAUAGGCUAAGAAUGUUUUCUACAUUUUUAGAUGGUAGGAGAAGAACAAAAGAGGAAGAAUGUUUUGUCACAAAAGUAUAUGAGAUUCAAAUUUCAGUGUCCACAGACGGCAAUCCUGGCUCCUACCCCUAAAACAAUCAUUGCAGUGGAGCUCUGCCCUAGCUACGGCCCCUUUCUUCUUUUGGUUCCCUGACUUUGGGGCCUGGAGGGCACAAAGGCAAGGAGCAGGCUGCCAUCCACCCCUUCUCAGAGAACCUGCAGGGAGCUCACCAUGCUCUGCAUCCAGUCUAGGUGGC
rnacentral:lncRNA from 1 species